UUGCAAUAGGCCAGCCUCACUGAAUGGGAUGAUCAUUUGUGAUGCCAAAACCUCAUCUCUUUCCUGCAGCCAAGCUGAAUACUGCUGCAUGCUAAAUGAUGUGCAACUAUAUCAAUUCUCUUUCAGAUUGUGCAGUGAAGUCUAGUACAAUAAAGGUGAUUUUACUUCGUGAUGCUAAUGGCGAUGCGUAGAGGAGAAUCUUCAGCCAGCAUGGACUCAACGGGGCGUAUCUUUACUCUCAUUCCAGUAACUUG
rnacentral:misc_RNA from 1 species